GACUAUGGUAUUUCACAUUUUGAAGUUUAAAUUGAUGAUAGAUUAUAAAUGGGACAUGCCGAGUCUGCUUUAAAGACUACAUAUGAUUCAGGGCUCUGGAGCUUCAAAAGUGUCUGAAGUUGAUGAAGUAGCAUGAUGUCUUCUCUUCGAAGAUGAUGUCUUUUUGUUAUCUUUUCUAGAAAAUGAACUGGACUUCUUCCGGGAGCUGCAGGGAGACCAAAAGUUCUCUGAUUCUGCAACUCUCUUGCAGCCAACACUAAGAAUCCAUCCACUUUUUCCGAAAUCCUUAGUUUGCUGCUUCCUAUUGAUGGAAACAAGCUUCUUACAGUCUCUCUCGAAAAGGUACUCCUCCAACUCGAAAGGCUCCUGUUGCUCUUGCAGAAGCUGUCUCAAUGGUGAUCUUGGUGUCAUGGAUGCUAUGAAGAAGAAAGGUUGAAAUGCAAGUAGAGAAUGGAAGAACAUAUAAUAAUUACAAAGACAAUUCAGUUUUAGUUGGAGGAGAGGAUUAUGUGGUGCAGAUUAAUAAAUCAUGGAUAGAUCAGAAAAAGCCUACCUGUCAGAAUCUGAUUUAUCAUUGCCUUGAAACAGACUGAGAUACCGAAGAAGAGCGAGACACACACGCAA